rnacentral:rRNA from 1 species
ACCGUACUCCUACGGGAGGCAGCAGUGGGGAAUAUUGGACAAUGGGCGAAAGCCUGAUCCAGCCAUGCCGCGCGUGUGAAGAAGGUCUUCGGAUUGUAAAGCACUUUAAGUUGGGAGGAAGGGCAUUAACCUAAUACGUUGGUGUCUUGACGUUACCGACAGAAUAAGCACCGGCUAACUCUGUGCCAGCAGCCGCGGUAAUACAGAGGGUGCAAGCGUUAAUCGGAAUUACUGGGCGUAAAGCGGGCGUAGGUGGUUUGUUAAGUUGAAUGUGAAAUCCCCGAGCUCAACCUGGGAACUGCAUCCAAAACUGGCAAGCUAGAGUAUGGUAGAGGGUAGUGGUAGUUCCUGUGUAGCGGUGAAAUGCGUCGAUAUAGGAAGGAACGCCAGUGGCGAAGGCGACUACCUGGACUGAUACUGACACUGAGGUGCGAAAGCGUGGGGAGCAAACAGGAUUAGAUACCCCAGUAGUCCUUGAC